rnacentral:rRNA from 1 species
GUGGAUUAGAUACCCUGGUAGUCCACGCUGUAAACGAUGGAUACUUGGUGUUGAAGGUAUUGACCCCUUCAGUGCCGGAGCUAACGCGUUAAGUAUCCCGCCUGGGGAGUACGGUCGCAAGAUUAAAACUCAAAGAAAUUGACGGGGGCCCGCACAAGCGGUGGAGCAUGUGGUUUAAUUCGAUGCAACGCGAAAAACCUUACCUGGGUUUGGCAUCUUCUGAACGCCGUAGAGAUACGGAAGGCCCGAAAGGGACAGGAAGACAGGUGCUGCACGGUUGUCGUCAGCU